UUAAGAGAUACGGUUCUUCCCUUCCUGGAGCUUACGAUGCAGUGAGGAGAUGGCAACCUGAUAAGAAUAGAAUUAAGUGGGUUUGGGACAAGACACUAUAUCAGACUCUGAAAAGUCAACAUAAAAAGCACUAAAAGAACUGCUAUUGCCGAGAGGGCCUAGAGGCAAUAGCAUUCAACAGCAACAAGCAAACCCAGGAACCAGAUCUGGGUUUCUGAUACCAUUGUCCAAUAGAAGGAAUUCAGGUCCUUUGGAGAAACAGCUGAUUCUAAGGCUGGAGCAUGUAAUAUACAAGAUGAACCUGGGGUAUCUUGUAGCACAGAAAAUAAGGAAGUACUCAAAAACCAAACUGAUGGGAUAUGUCAAGGGGACACAAGAGUCAGCUGAAAGAGCUCCCACAGGCUACUUGAAGAGCAAAAUAAAUAAUAUAGUAUUGGAUUAUAACCCAAAGUCUAAAAUAAAUAAUUCUGAGCCCUGUUAUGGGCUGAAUUGUAUCCUCCCCCCCCCCCACAAUUAUUUGCUGAAGCCCUAACCCCCGGUGAUACUCUAUUUGGAAAUAGGGCCUUUAAGGAAGUAAAUAAGGCUAAAUGAGGUCAUAAGGGUGGGGUCCUAGACCCGAAGGACUAGUGCCCUUUUAAGAGGAAGAGACACCAGAAAUCCUUCUCUCUUGGUAUGUGCACAGUGAGGAUAUGGUGAGAAGGUAGCCAUCUGUAAACUGAGGAGAGAGGUCUCAUCAGGAACCAACCCUCUUAUUACCUAGAUCUUAGAGUUCCAGCCUCCAGAACAGCAAGAAAAUUAAUUUCUAUUAUUGAAGCCACCCAGUCUAUGGUAUUUUGUUAUGGCAGCCCUAGUAGACUCAUGCAAGUCCAUACUAAUAUAAAUGACUGAAUAUACAGAUAAGUGGGGAGAAGAGACAAAUUCCUAUACAUUAGAAUUUUAAAAAAAUGUAUGUGGAUACUGCCCCCUUGAGGAGGUAGAGCACAACUCCCUACACUGUGUGCAGUGACUUUCUUCCAAAGAUACAGUAUGGAAAGGGGGUAAAAGUACAGAAGAGUAACAUCAUCAGUGGUAAUUCAUGUUGAUAAUGUACCCUUGAUAUGACGUAGUGAGAACGGCACUUUACCUCCCCCAAACUAUAAUCCCAGUCGAAGCAAAAGAAAAACAUCAGACAAACCCAAAUUGAGGGCCACUUUACAGAAUUUCUCCAAAGUGUCCAGGUCACCCAAAAGAAGCAAAGUCUAAAACUGUCACAGUUUAAUGGAUCCUAAGGAGACGUGAUGACUAACUGUGACGUGAGACCCUGGAUGGAAUCCUGGAGCAAAGCACUAGACCCUGUCAGCUGCACUUUUCCAACCGCAGUCAAAGUGGCUCUACAACUCCAAACCCUGUUCCUCCUGGAUUUUCGUGCUGGCCGUCAACCAAGAACUGGCCCCAGCUGUACUGGCCUCUAAUUUGCUUAACUCUUUCCUCUUCUUUACUCUUAUGUUGAGAGUUAGAGAUGGAGGAAAGGAGAUUCAUUCAUUCUUCCCACAAGUAUUUAUCGGACACCUAUUAUAUGCCAGCCACUGGGGUUACAGCAGUGAAUAAGGCAGGCGAGGUCCCUGCCCAUAGAAGCCACAUUGUGAAGGAUGGGUAACAUCAUGGCGCACUUAUUAUUGCUACAAGAUUUAUUUGCAUGUGUGCUUUCAUUUAGUGCUGAUGAUGUAGGCACUACUGUCAUCCUCAUUUACCGAGACACAGAUGCCAAUUGACUUACCCAAUAUCAUGCAGCUAGUAAGUGACGGAGACACAAUUUAAAUCAAAGGACUCAGAUUCCAGAACGCUUGGAUUCCUAACCGUGAUAAUAUUGAUAAAAUUGUUCUUUUGUGUAGAUAA